UACGGAGGGAGCUAGCGUUGUUCGGAAUUACUGGGCGUAAAGCGCGCGUAGGCGGCUUUUGUAAGUUAGAGGUGAAAGCCCGGAGCUCAACUCCGGAAUUGCCUUUGAGACUGGAUAGCUUGAAUCACGGAGAGGUGGGUGGAAUUCCGAGUGUAGAGGUGAAAUUCGUAGAUAUUCGGAAGAACACCAGUGGCGAAGGCGGCCCACUGGACGUGUAUUGACGCUGAGGUGCGAAAGCGUGGGGAGCAAACAGG
rnacentral:rRNA from 1 species